CGUGCUUAAAGAGUCUAACGUAAUAUUAUUUUGAGGAAAGCCGUGAAAUUUGCUAAACGGCUCAUCCCGAAGUCUAAAGUUAAUACAAUAUCUAUUGAGGGCCCCGCAAUUUGUAGUUUUAUUUGGCGAGGCUCGUCUCAUUUAUUAUUUAAAAGGCCGACCUAAAAGAGACUACAAUUUCUAUUCACUUUGUCUCUAAUAAUAAAGAAGAAACCAUAAUUAUUUAGCAAGAUAUGCGAAAUGGAUUCAGGCCAAUUUUAUAACACUGAUGGGCAUUUGUACAAGCCCAAACAUAAUCAAGGAGCCUAAAGUGAGACCCCAUGGUCUCCACAUGAGGCUGCAAGUGAAACUCAUGAGGCCUGGGCCUUGGGGCAACGGUCCUAUUCAACAGAAGGCGCCCAGUGACUCUAGCUACGCAACAGGCCCAAGAGCAACUCAACAUUUGGUCUUCAACCUAAUGGUGACUAUCUGCAAUUAAUCCAAUCUUUUAAAAUGAAUGAGGUUGCAAUUUUCAUGAAUAACAAGGCAGCAAAGUUUCGACCUUUCACAAUUCAAUUUCAUGUGGACUGGACUAGCUGCAUUACUUCCAUUAUUUCAAAUUAACCAUAGGCUAGCAGGAAAUUACUAAAACUAACGUGAAUUAUUUUAUUACCUCAACGUGAGAUCAAUUACAAUUAGUACUUAACUCAAAAAGCUCAUAUGAAUCUGCGAAGUAACAAUUUAGCCCAGUUAAUACAAAACCAGCCCAGAUCUAACAAUAUCAGUGACUUAACUCCUUAAAUAGCGUCGCUUCCAACUCGAACCUAGACAAUCUUACAAUUAAUACUCAUGCCCUUCUGAACACAAUCCGCAUAUUCUAAUUAGUACCAAUAGCAAUUGUCCAAAUAGCCUUUCCAAAAUCAGUUAUAAUUUGUGCCAUUUUUGAAACUGUGAGAGUUAACUAACGCCAGAAAUUAUUUCAAUAGGCACAAACACACAACUAAUAGUUCACAUGAACAAACUCAAUCCUAGCAGUUCAUCAGUUCAAUACAGUCCAAAAUCAUUACAAAACUAUACUGAAAUCAUUGAAACCAAUGGAAAUUUCAACAAAAUAUGUUUCCUCUUCAUUUCAUUUCAACUGGAGAUCUACAUAGUAUCGAGUUUCAUGUUAAGUACCUGGAGAUGUGAAAUACAAUAAGAAGAGGAAGAUGAUCAGCAGCAAUAACAGCCACGAAUAGAAAUCAAUCAGCCAGUAGCUUAAUUCAAUAGCCACGAAGAGUUGGAAACCAAAUAACACCCAGGCAAUCAACCACAAUUUACUAUACCCAAAUGCAAUUGCAAUUUGACCAGAAACUACAACACUUAAUAAUCAGCAAUCACUCGAAAUAGUCUCAAAAACACCUUCAGAUGCCCUAAACACUCAGGUACAGGACAGCACCUGAGAAAUCCGUGCUACUUAUCAUCCUAAAUGAAUUAACUAGUGGAAUACUCACAUUUGUUUUCUGAUUUUUCAAUAGAAAUCUAAGAUCUAAAGGAAGUUUUUGAACUUUUACUAAUCUGAAAUUCAACUAUCGGCUCAGAUCUGCAAAGAAGGCUUUUAGGGGGAUUUUUUAGGUGAAGAGC
rnacentral:lncRNA from 1 species